rnacentral:misc_RNA from 1 species
CGCCGCUCUCGCGAGGGCAUCUCCAUCGCGGCACACCGACCACAAGGCACGCAGCCCCCCCCCCUCCCAUCGCUCGCUCUGCGCCACGCCACGCCACCACCACCCUCAUCCACCUUUGGGGGCAUCCUUCAAAUAUGCAGCAGCAGUGGCACGACAUCCUCCUCCACAAUGACGUCGGCGAUGCAGCCUUUCACAAGGGGGCGCCACUAUUGCUGGAGGCGCUGCAGAUCAUCGGCGACGUGCAGUCCGUCUCCGCGGCGACACGGCUGGGGCUGCACUUGCGCGACGCAGAACACAGCAGCGCGGUGGGUCAGCUCGUCUCCACCUUCACUGACAAGCACAUGUACCGAGAGCACGUCGCGCAUGCGACGGCAGCAGCGCCGCUCUUGAAAGCGCUGGUAGACUUCUUCCAGGGCUGCACCCCCGCCUCCGAAGCAGCAGCAGCUGUGACGCCAUCUUUAGUCGCCGUUGCAGAGCUGGACGGCUUGCUCGUCCCUUCGGCUGUCUGGAGCGCCCUAUCCCGGGCGGUGGCCGCGCCGCCGCAACUGCAGCCGCUCUCCUCCCCGCCAGCCGAGGCCGCUACCUCUCCGUCCCCGGGCGACGCCGCCAUCCCGCUAGCGAGGGAGCUUCGCUCGCAUCCGCUGUUCAGCUACAAAGCCUUCCUCGGCCGCCUCGACCGUCUCAGUGGCCUCAUCAGCAGCGGUGAAGUCUUCAGCGCAUGCGAGCCGCGAAUUAAGGUGCUGCAGAGCCGCUUCAGCCUCUACCGCGCCUACAACGGCGGUCGCGAGGAUGAGUACCACCCCACCUUUGGCGGCGGCGACAUCAAGCGCGCGCCCAAGUGCGACCUGCGCCGCGUCGAGACAUGUGUGAGCGCCGCAUCGGUGGUUAAGUUCAUCGAAGAGCUGCGCCGGGAUCGGCCAAGCUACCCGCUGUACACCGAGGACACCAUCGGCGAGGCGCACGCGAAAGGGACGACACCUGGCGACAGUGACAGCAGCAGUGCGUCGGACACAGUGUCGCGCAUCUCCGUCGAGGAGGCGGUGCGGCGCUUCUUUGGCAGUGGCGUGGCCGUGUCGGAGCGAGUGCUGACAGAGGAGGGACUCUGCCUGCGCCCGAGCUACGCCGCUGACUCAGAGGACCGAUGGCUUAGCCUGCAGCAGCUCGCAGACUCGGGUGAUAAUCCCCGUGCUGCUCAUGCCAGUCGGCUUCUCCGGCCCCUGCUGAGCACUUCUGGCGGCGCCGAUGGAGAGGGCGAGCUGCUGGCGCUUCUCCUGCGGCCAAUCCUCACGCGCGUCCUCACCUCUGGCACCUGUUACGACCGACUGGAGCUGGAGCUGACCGUGUCCGGCAAGGAUGUGGAGGAGCUACCACGGCUGGCACGGUGGUGCGCGAUGAGUGGGCUGCUGGAGUCGUGCCCGGGCCUGUUCUUCCGAUUUCAUGUGGUGCAAGAUGCCUACAGCGCCGGCACGGAGGGAGCGCUGCAGCAACGGCGGCACCAUCAGCAGCAUUCCACGGUAACAGAGGGCCACAGUCCUUCAUCCGCAUCCUCCUCUCGCGCGUCGCGGUCGCUCUUCUUUGGGGAUGUCCUGCACAACAUCUUCAGCCCCAUCUGGGAGGCCUACCUCGCCGCUGCUGGUGCUGCUGCUGGAACAGUAGGCAGCGGCGCAGACGCUCCUCCACCCUCUACGGAGCGCCGCGUGGCAGAGAUGCAGUCACUGUUGCGCCGGACAACGGGCUUCUCGGUAAGUCUCACCAACGCCGCCGCGGUGCAGGAGAUGCCGCCGACUAGCAGGCCAAGCUGUCAGUUCCCGCUGCCGGGCAGCAACAGCAGCGGCUCAGAGCACGCCGCGGCUGCCACAUCGCUAGCCCCGCCGGACGCUUUCUUUGUGUAUCACGUCUGGCGCAAUGUGCAGCUCGUGAACGCCUUUUUGUUCGCCUCCGGUGAGCAGGAAAAGCCGACAACCGCCGCCGCCGCCGCCCCGCGCGAGGCGGCGGCGAGGCCGGCUUGGAACACCCGACCCGCCUUCACGUUCACUCUCCACGGCGGCGCCAGCAGCCGCACACUCUUUGGCGAGAGUGUUCUCGGUCUCCUGCUCGCCGACGCGGUUGUGAACCCGUCCACGGCGUUCGAGUGGAGCCCUCUCACAUACCUGUUCAUGCUCUCCCAGCGUCACAUCAUUCUCACCCCAUCACGCAACCGCUGCAGCAGCGCCGCGGUCAGGCACACGCUCAACACAACGGCCGUUCCGCUUGCGGUGCAGGCCGGCUUGCACGUCAGCGUCGCCACGCUCGACCCCCUCUUCUACGACACAACGAACGACGCGCUGGGCGAGGAGCUGAAGGAGCUGGCAAAGCAGCGCGGGUUGGCAAACGCCGAUGUAACGGAGAUGUGCCUGCGCUCCCUCGAGGCGAGCAGCGGGUGCUUUACGCGGGUAGAGCAGCGGCAUCUCUUCGGGUACGCCUGGCCGCACGCACAGGCGCGGUACAGCCAGUUCUCUGCCACCCAAGUGAGCCCCCUGCGACUGCACCACCGCGCCUGUGCGCUGGAGCACGAGCUCGACGUGCUCUUUGCCGCGGUGCGUGAGGGCGGCAGCAACAGCGGCGGCGGCGCGACGACGACAGCACGGCUGCGGGCGGUGUGUAGCAGGAGUGAUGAAGCGCAUCUCCGUGCCGUUCUAUUUCUGCCGUCUGCCGCCGACGAUGGCAGCGACCCUUCCGUCACCGUGUACCGCCGCGCCGCCAGCGCCAGCACCCGUGCGCUGGAGCUCGAGCACGACCCGGCUCUCCUUGUGCGCCUGCCCGGCUACCAGGCGCAUGAGGCCUUCAUGCAGUACCCACGCAUCCUUAUCUCUGGACCUGACCGGGUGGGGCCCAGCGCAGCAGCGAAGCGCUUGAUGAUGGCCAUGGCAACGCGAGAGGCCUACCAACAGUUCGUCAUCCGCCCUGAGUAUGUGCAACGCGUGCAGGCGGCAAGCUCCUACGGCCCCGACAAGAAGAAGGACAGCCAGAGCAACUCACCGGAGGCGUUGGUGCUGAAGUGGCGCGACGGUGUGCUGAACGUCGAAGAGAGGCAGCCAAAGCAGCACAACAGCCACGUCGGCAGUGUGUCUGCGUCGUCUCCGUCAGCGUUGCCGACGUGGGCGCAGUUCCAGAAGGACACACGCAUGUUGCGCCGCCUCGCCAGUGCCGACCCCACCGUCGCCAAGUACGCCAGUAAACGCCUUGACAUGCUCGAGUCCAAGUACAGGCUGCACGCGGCGCUGACGAACGAUGACGAGGAAGACUACACGAUCACAACGGCGGCAGCAACCGCGGCUGAGAACGCGGAGGGGGACAGCGCCGAGGCACGCGCGCGGGCUGCCGCCACGUCACGCCGUUGUGUGGUGCAGCCGGCGUGCGGUGACGCGCACAACUGCGUCAAGGUGGACGUGCACUGCCACAUGGCGAGCGGCAUGACGGCGAAGUCGCUGCUGCAGUUUAUGCAGCGCAAAAUCCGCGACCACCCGGACGACGUCGUCGGCGUGGAUUCCAAGACUGGUGCCCCGAUCACUCUCGUGGAGUUCUUCGAUGAGGUUCUGGGGGAGCAGCUGAAGCCGAAACCGUCGGCAGUCGUUCAGGGGGACAACAGCACCGCCGUGUGCCGCGUCGCACAGGGCUUUGCCGCGGAAGGUGACGAGGUUGUAGCGGCGGCCAGCGCGAAGGCGGCGCGGGUGGCGCACCUGCUUGCCGAAAUGCCCGUUGCCGCGCUGCAGGUGCACGCCGGCAAGGCCACGUUCCAUCGCUUCGACCGCUUCAAUCACCGCUUCAGUCCGAUGGGCAUGACCUCCCUGCGCUCCCUGUUUCUCAAAACGGAGAACUUCAUGCAAGGGCGCUACUUCGCCGAGCUCAUUCGUGGCGCCUUCAAGCAGAACGAGCUGGAAGGCGGCACCUUCACCGAGAACCGGCUGUCCAUCUACGGCCGGCACAAGGGCGAGUGGGACCUGCUGUCGCGCUGGUUCGUGCUUCACGGCAUGUCGCAUCGCACGAACAGCUGGAUGAUUCAGGUACCGCGUCUGUUCCACCUGUACCAGCGCAGUGGCCAGCUCCGCAGCUUCCAGGAGAUGCUCACCAACAUAUUCGAGCCGCUGUGGCACGCGUCGCUGCACCCUGACAAGUACCCGUACCUGCACUUCUUCCUCACUCACGUCUCCGGCUUUGACAGCGUCGAUAACGAGAGCGAUCGGGAGCCGGACCAGACGAUCGACAUCUCUCCGGAGCAGUGGACGAGCGCCGAGAACCCGCCCUUCGCGUACUACAUGUUUUACAUGUGGAUCAACAUCACGACGUUGAAUCUCUACCGCGCCGCGCGCGGGCUCAACACGUUCCAGUUCCGCCCCCACGCUGGCGAGAGCGGCGACCCGGACCACAUGGCGGACGUGUUCCUGCUGGCGGACGGCAUCGGUCACGGCAUCAACCUCGACAAGCGGCCAGUGAUGCAAUACCUCUACUACCUGACGCAGAUCCCGCUCGCCAUCACGCCCAUGUCGAACAACACGCUUUUCUGCCGGUACAAGGACCACCCGCUGCCCAACUUCCUGUAUCGCGGCCUGAAUGUGGCCAUCGGCACCGACUGCCCCCUCAUCUUUCACCGCACGGAGCAGCCGCUGCUCGAGGAGUACGGCACCGCGGAGGCGCUGUGGAACCUGUCGGCUGCAGACAUUUGCGAGCUCGCCGCGAACAGCGUGCGCACCUCGGGCUUCCCGGCCUCGCGCAAGAGGGAGUGGCUUGGGCCACUCUACUACCUGCGCAGCGUGGCGGGCAACGACGUGGCGCGGUCGCACGUGCCGCAGACGCGGUGCGCCUUCCGCUACGAGGCGUAUAUGGAGGAGGUGACCUAUCUGCAGAACCGCGCCGCGCGCGAGAUGUCGUGCCGCGCGAUGCGCACACCACUGGAGGAGGAGGUGGACAUCAUGGACGCCGUCGGCAUCUCCCGCGGCGAGCUGCUGGAGCGGCGCUGCAAUGGGGCCAAGAUUGAGGAGAAGCAACGCUGUCGACCGUUGCUGCCUGCAAGCGUGGAUGAACGUCCAGCACGCGUCGCUAAGACUCAUGACGCCUCCCACUUAUAAGUCGGCCUAUUCAAUUCCUGUUGGGCGGGUGCAGAGUGGCACUCUGCCUCUUGCGUAUGUGCUUGGCCGUUCUCAGUGCUUGCUCGUGGCGGAUAGGCGCAAUGGUGUGCCUCUGUGAGUCUGCGACUGUCGUUGCUUGCCCCACCAGCGCACGCAGGCACGCCACCUUCUUCGUUUCUUUUUUGUUGUUGUUCAUUGACAUCGCUCU